rnacentral:rRNA from 1 species
GACGAACGCUGGCGGCGUGCUUAACACAUGCAAGUCGAACGUGAUUUUUGUGGAAAUUCUUUCGGGAAUGGAAAUGAAGUGAAAGUGGCGAACGGGUGAGUAACACGUGAGCAACCUACCUUACACAGGGGGAUAGCCGUUGGAAACGACGAUUAAUACCGCAUGAGACCACAGAAUCGCAUGAUAUAGGGGUCAAAGAUUUAUCGGUGUAAGAAGGGCUCGCGUCUGAUUAGCUAGUUGGAAGGGUAAAGGCCUACCAAGGCGACGAUCAGUAGCCGGUCUGAGAGGAUGAACGGCCACAUUGGAACUGAGACACGGUCCAAACUCCUACGGGAGGCAGCAGUGGGGAAUAUUGCACAAUGGGGGGAACCCUGAUGCAGCGACGCCGCGUGAGCGAAGAAGGUUUUCGAAUCGUAAAGCUCUGUCCGAUGAGAAGAUAAUGACGGUAUCAUAGGAGGAAGCCCCGGCUAAAUACGU